rnacentral:rRNA from 1 species
CCUACGGGAGGCAGCAGUGGGGAAUAUUGCGCAAUGGGCGAAAGCCUGACGCAGCGACGCCGCGUGAGGGAUGAAGGUCUUCGGAUCGUAAACCUCUGUCAGCAGGGAAGAACGGUCACUGUGCUAAUCAGCAGUGAAUUGACGGUACCUGCAAAGGAAGCACCGGCUAACUCCGUGCCAGCAGCCGCGGUAAUACGGAGGGUGCGAGCGUUAAUAGGAAUGACUGGGCGUAAAGCGCUCGUAGGCGGGAUUGCAAGUCAAUGGUGAAAUCCCGGAGCUAAACGUGGGAACUGCAUUUGAAACUGGCAAACUGGAGUGUGGGAGAGGGUAGUGGAAUUCCAGGUGUAGGAGUGAAAUCCGUAGAUAUCUGGAGGAACAUCAGUGGCGAAGGCGACUAUCUGGAACAUAACUGACGCUGAGGAGCGAAAGCGUGGGUAGCAAACAGGAUUAGAUACCCGGGUAGUC